AGUGAACGCUGGCGGUAGGCUUAACACAUGCAAGUCGAACGCAUCGCAAGAUGAGUGGCAGACGGGUGAGUAACGCGUGGGAACAUACCCUUUUCUACGGAAUAGCUCUGGGAAACUGGAAUUAAUACCGUAUACGCCCUACGGGGGAAAGAUUUAUCGGGGAAGGAUUGGCCCGCGUUGGAUUAGCUAGUUGGUGGGGUAAAGGCCUACCAAGGCGACGAUCCAUAGCUGGUCUGAGGGGAUGACCAGCCACAUUGGGACUGAGACACGGCCCAAACUCCUACGGGAGGCAGCAGUGGGGAAUAUUGGACAAUGGGCGCAAGCCUGAUCCAGCCAUGCCGCGUGAGUGAUGAAGGCCUUAGGGUUGUAAAGCUCUUUCACCGAUGAAGAUAAUGACGGUAGUCGGAGAAGAAGCCCCGGCUAACUUCGUGCCAGCCGCCGCAAUAC
rnacentral:rRNA from 1 species